CCAGACUCCUACGGGAGGCAGCAGUAGGGAAUCUUCGGCAAUGGACGAAAGUCUGACCGAGCAACGCCGCGUGAGUGAAGAAGGUUUUCGGAUCGUAAAGCUCUGUUGUAAGAGAAGAACGGGUGUGAGAGUGGAAAGUUCACACUGUGACGGUAUCUUACCAGAAAGGGACGGCUAACUACGUGCCAGCAGCCGCGGUAAUACGUAGGUCCCGAGCGUUGUCCGGAUUUAUUGGGCGUAAAGCGAGCGCAGGCGGUUAGAUAAGUCUGAAGUUAAAGGCUGUGGCUUAACCAUAGUACGCUUUGGAAACUGUUUAACUUGAGUGCAGAAGGGGAGAGUGGAAUUCCAUGUGUAGCGGUGAAAUGCGUAGAUAUAUGGAGGAACACCGGUGGCGAAAGCGGCUCUCUGGUCUGUAACUGACGCUGAGGCUCGAAAGCGUGGGGAGCGAACAGGAUUAGAUACCCUGGUAGUCCACGCCGUAAACGAUGAGUGCUAGGUGUUAGGCCCUUUCCGGGGCUUAGUGCCGCAGCUAACGCAUUAAGCACUCCGCCUGGGGAGUACGACCGCAAGGUUGAAACUCAAAGGAAUUGACGGGGGCCCGCACAAG
rnacentral:rRNA from 1 species